CUCUGAAAAAUGGCGGCCAUCUUGUCUCCCGAAUGUGGGCAGUGGUACUUGGUUGUCGAGUCUCUGGAAUUCAAAGAAGUAUACAUCAACUUGCGAACCUCGGUGACUUUGUACCGAUGCCUGCUUCCGUUCCCGACAAGACAGGGGAGAGCUACGAGCCAGGGGGAAACAAACAUUAGUUUGUUUUUGUAUAAGAACUCCCGAAAGGUGACUGGCAAAAGCACCAAACGCCCUGGAACUGUUUUGGGCAUGGGACAAUUUUUACCCAGGUGGUGAUUCAACUA